UAUCGGAACGUGCCCUGGAGUGGGGGAUAACGCAGCGAAAGUUGCGCUAAUACCGCAUACGAUCUAAGGAUGAAAGCAGGGGACCGCAAGGCCUUGUGCUCCUGGAGCGGCCGAUAUCUGAUUAGCUAGUUGGUGGGGUAAAGGCCUACCAAGGCAUCGAUCAGUAGCUGGUCUGAGAGGACGACCAGCCACACUGGAACUGAGACACGGUCCAG
rnacentral:rRNA from 1 species